GUCGUCCCCAUGCCCCUCCUGGAGGCCGCCAUCUUCGUACAGCUGCGGCAUCACAGAAUCCGGGAGCUGGGUUUGGAGAUCGUGUCUCUCUAUGACCACGCCUCCUGGCACAUCACAACAGUAGGGGCUGUAGAGUCACUGGUGUGCAGCAUGCUGUGUCCUGUUGUGUAGUCAUCUUAAACAACCGUCCAUUUUCUAAUCACUGUACCCAGUACUGGGCCACGGGGAGCUGGAACCUAUCCUGGCAAGCAAUGAGCACGGGGCAGGACACACCCCGGACGGGACGCCUGUCUCACCCCAGGGGUUUUCCCAGAAGCCAAUUACCCUACCAGUAUGAUUGUGGGGAGGAGGAGGAAACCCACUCCAAACACGGGGAGAACAAUACAAACUCCACGCAGACAGCACCCCAGGUGGUCAGUGCGAGGCCUGUGCCAAUCAGGGAGGAGGCCAAGGCGUGGAGCUGAAGGAGCAGAGCUAGAGGCAGCCCAGGCCAGGUACCUGCACAAACCCACAAAAACUGGGGCCAGAUGCAGAAGGGGAGUGUCUAAGCAUCUGGGGGCCGGAUUACUCUUACUGCUGCCAGCUGCACGCCUCUGCCCAGCAAUUUUCUAG
rnacentral:lncRNA from 1 species